CAUCAGUAAGAUAACAGAUACAAGUCAAGUAGGAAAAAAGUUUAAAUAGCUGUGAGACUGAACCUCAGCUCAAGUCGGGAACCAUCUGCCCAUCUCAAAGCUUGGAAAUAAGAAAUUGACAAUGAAAUUCCUGGUUUUUAUGUGUGUUUUGAAUGUGGUGACAGAAGGAACACAUUUAGAUGAUCUUAACUUUCAGGAUGACGAUUAUUCCCAACGGGUGCCUCCAGGAGGCAAUUUACAAGAUCUUCCAGACUAUGGUAGUGAAGAAAUUCUGUAUUUUACACCUCCUGUGUAAUGAAAACAAGGUGCAAACCUUUGAAACAUGGUCCUUUUUUAGCAAAUCAAAGUUUAACUCAGCGUUUUCCUCUCAUGAGGUUGUUUCUACUGUGAUGGGACUGUGAGCCACAUCAAGUGUACCAGUAGAGAAGAAUAGUGGCUUGAAAUCGGAAUUUCUUUACUUUUACUAAUAAAUCUCUUGCAAGCAUUAAA